UUUAUUGAAGAGACUGUCUUUUCUCCAUUGUAUGUUCUUGGCACCUUUGUCGAAGAUUAGCUGUCCGUAGAUGUACAGUUUUAUUUCUAGGCUUUCAGUUCUGUUCCGUUGAUCUGUGUGCCUGUUUUUGUCCCAGUACCAUGCUGUUUUGAUCACUAUGGCUUUGUAACACAUUAUGAAGUCAGGGAUUGUGAUGCCUCCAGCUUUGUUCUUUUUUGUCAGGAUUGCAUUAGCAAUUCGGGGUCUUUGGUUGCCCCACAUGAAUUUUAGGAUUCUUUGUUCUAUUUCCAUGAAGAAUGUCAUUGGGAUUCUGAUUGCGAUUGCACUGAACCUGUAGAUUGCUUUGGUCAGUAUGAACAUUUUAACUAUGUUUAUUCUUCCAGUCCACGUGCAUGGAAUCUCUUUCCAUCUCUUUACGUCAUUGUCUAUAUCUUUCAAUAAUGUCUUACAGUUUUCAUUGUAUAAGUCCUUUGCCUCCUUAGUCAAAUUUAUUCCUAGGUAUUUUAUUCUUUUUGUUGUGAUUGUAAAAUGAAUGUAUUCUUGAGUUCUCUUUCUGUAAGUUCGUUAUUAAAGUAUAGAAAAGCAACUGAUUUUUGUAAAUUGAUUUUGUACCCUGCAACUUUACUGUAGUUGCUAAUUAUUUCUAAUAGUUUUCCAAUGGAUUCUUUAGAGAUUUCUAUAUAUAAGAUCAUGUCGUCUGCAAACAAUGAGAGUUUCACUUCUUCACUCCCUAUUUGGAUUUCUUUUAUUCCUUUCUCUUGCCUAAUUGCUCUGGCCAAAACCUCCAUAAGAGUGGUGAUAGAGGACAUCCUUGUCCUGUUCCUGUUCUCAGGGGGAUGGGGUUCAGUUUUUCCCCAUUGAGUAUAAUGUGGGCUGUGGGUUUCUCAUAAAUGGCCUCUAUUAUGUUGAGAUAGAUUCCUUCUAUCUACAUUUUCUUAAGGGUUUUUAUCAUAAAUGGCUAUUGGAUCUUGUCAAAUGCUUUCUCUGCAUCUAUUGAGAUGAUCAUGUGGUUUUUAUUCCUCAUUUUGUUAAUAUGGUGUAUCACAUUGAUUGAUUUGCGGAUGUUGAACCAUCCCUGUGUCCCUGGUAUGAAUCCCACUUGAUCAUGAUCCUUUUGAUAUAUUCCUGUAUUCGGAUUGCCAAUAUUUUGUUGAGGAUUUUUGCAUUUAUGUUUAUCAGCGAUAUUGGCCUGUAGUUUUCCUUUUUGUGUUGUCCUUGUCAGGCUUUGGUAUCAGAGUGAUGUUGACCUUGUAGAAUGUGUUAGAAAGUGUUCCAUCUUCCCUAACUUUUUGGAAUAGCUUGAGAAGGAUAGGUAUUAAAUCCUCUGUGAAAGUUUGGUAGAAUUCCCCAGGGAAGCCAUCUGGUCCUGGGCUUUUCUUCUCUGGGAUGCUUUUGAUUACUGUUUCAAUCUCUUUCCUUGUGAUUGGUCUAUUCAGAUUAUCUAUUUCUUCUUGAUUCAGCUUUGGGAGGUUGUAAGAGUCUAAGAAUUUAUCCAUUUCUUCUAGAUUAUCCAUUUUGUUGGCAUAUAGUUUUUCAUAGUAUUCUCUUAUAAUCUGUUGUAUUUCUGUGGUAUCCAUUGUUAUUUCUCCUCUUUCAUUUCUUAUUUUAUUUAUCUGAGCUUUCUCUCUUUUUUCUUUGUAAGUCUGGCUAGGGAUUUGUCAAUUUUAUUUAUCUUCUCAAAGAACCAGCUCUUUGUUUCAUUGAUCCUUUCUAUUGCCUUUUUUGUUUCAAUAGCAUUAAUUUCUGCUCUGAUUUUUAUUAUUUCUCUCCUUCUGCUGACUUUGGGCUUUGUUUGUUCUUCUUUUUCUAAUUCAGUUAGGUGUAGUUUGAGAUUGCUUAUUUGGGUUUUUUCUUGUUUGUUAAGGUGAGCCUGUAUUGUCAUUAAUUUCCCUCUUAAUAAGGCUUUUGCUGCAUCCCAUAUGAGUUGGUAUGGUAUGUUUUCAUUUUCAUUUGUCUUCAGAUAUUUUUGUAUUUCUCCUUUAAUAGUGAGUAUUUAAUGUCUUCAAUGAUCCAUUGCUCAUUCAAUAGCAUGUUGUUUAGUCUCCAAAUCUUUGUCCUUUUCUCAGCUCUUUUCUUGUAAUUAAUUUCUAGCUUUAUAGCAUUGUGAUCAGGAAAGAUGCUCGUUAUUAUUUCAAUCUUCUUAAAUUUAUUGAGGCCUGCCUUGUUUCCCAACAUAUGGUCUGUUCUUGAGAACGUUCCAUGAGUACUUGAGAAGAAUGUGUAUUCUGCUGUUUUUGGAUGGAGUGUUCUAUAUAUGUCUGUUAAGCCCAUCUGGUCUAGGUUUUCAUUUAAUUCCACUGUUUCCUUGUUGAUUUUCUGUUUGGAUGAUCUAUCCAUUGAUGUAAAUGAAGUGUUGAGGUCCCCUACUAUUAUUGUGUUAUUAUUAAUGUCUCCUUUUAGGCUUGUUAAUAGUUGCUUUAUGUACUUUGGUGCUCCUGUGUUGGGUGCAUAGAUACUUAUAAGUGUUACUUCUUCUUGUUGGACUGUCCCUUUGAUCAUUAUAUACUGCUCCUGUUUGUCUCUCUUUACCUGUCUUAUCUUGAAGUCUACUUUGUCUGAUAUAAGUAUUGCAACACCUGCUUUCUUUUGUCUGCCAUUAGCUUGCAGUAUCAUCUUCCAUCCCUUCACUCUCAGCCUGUGUUUAUCAUUGGCGCUGAGAUGUGUUUCCUGGAGGCAGCAUGUUGUUGGGUCUUGUUCUUCAAUCCAUCUCUCCACUCUGUCUUUUUAUUGGAGAAUUCAAUCCAUUUACGUUUAGUGUGAUUAUCGAUAUAUGAGGGCUUAAUGCUGCCCUUUUAUCACUCGUUUUCCAGUUCUCUUGCAUUUCCUUUGUUUCUCGUCCUGUGUAUUUUGGUCUACCAAUCGAGUUAUGUAGUUUUUAACAUGUUUAUUUGUUUUCUUCUUAUUUAUUAUUCGUGUUUCUGUUCUGCUUUUUUUGUUUAGUGGUUACCCUGAGGUUUGUAUUCAAGAUCUCGCGGAUAAGAAAGUCCCUUUUCUGAUGGUCUCUAAUUUCCUUAGACUAAACUGAUUCAGUCCCUUUCCUCUUCUGCUCCUAAGUUGUUUUUCUCACAUAUUAUUCCAUCUUGUGUUAUGAGUUUGUGGUUAAAAUGACGAGAUUAUCUUUGUUUUUGAUUUUUUCCUUCCCUUUGUCUUUAAUGCUAUACAUGAGUAUUUGCUAUCCUGCUCUGAUUCUGUCUGUCUAUUUAACUCCUAACUCCACACUUUGUAACUCUUUUCUCCCUUUUUUUUUUCUGGUAUGACGUCCUUCUUGAGGAUUUCUCGUAGUGGGGGUCUUGUGGCAACAAACUAACUCCCUUAACUUAUGCUUGUCUGGGAAAGUUUUUAUUUCUCCAUCAUACCUGAAGGAUAUUUUCACUGGAUAGAGUAUUCUUGGCUGAAAGUUUUUGUCCUUCAAUGAUUUGAAUAUGUCAUUCCAGCCUCUCCCAGCCUGUAAGCUUUCUGCAGAGAAAUCUGUUGAAAGCCUGAUGGCAGUUCCUUUGUAGGUUAUUUUCUUCUGCCUUGCUGCCCUUAAUAUUUUUUCUUUGUCAUUGACUUUUGCCAGUUUU
ensembl:lncRNA